UCACAAAACCCUAGCCUAACAAGCCGCCGAAUCUCCUCUCACCAAAGCCCUAAUCUCGUGGCGCUAUAAAGCGCGAUCUUGCGGACAAUCCUCAAGCUUUUACAGCUUGUGCGCAGAUGAUGAUUCGUGAUAUAUUCCGCACUCCUUGUGGAGAUUGAUGAUAUAAUUAUAAAUUUGGAAAUCAGAAUCUCUGAUGCAUUUGUGCUUCUUAGCACUAGAUCGAUUUUCUUUUUUUAAUUUCUUGUUCUUACACAUGUUCUUAGCUUUAGUUUCGAUUUGUUGCUUCGUGAUUGUGUUUGUGUGAUUUUGAUUGUGCAAAUGAUGAGGAAACAGACAGGGACAUCAGAUCUUUUAUUGGAGAAAGAUGACUUAGUCUAAUGGGAAUCUCUCUGAUGCAUUUGUUGCUUGGAAAGAUUCGAUCUAUUCCAAAAUUAAUAUUUUUUAUACAAGUUUUUCAUAUUUUAAUUUUGUUUGUUUAAUUUGAUCCUAACUUUUGUUGCUUCGAUUGUUGAGACGUAUUGGGAAAGGUUGAUCUACUGCCAAAUUGAUUUCGAUCUGAUCCAAGUUUUUGAUUUGUUAAGUUGGUUUAUUAAUGAUUCAAGUCUGUUCUUUGAUUUGGUU